GUGGGGAAUAUUGGACAAUGGGGGGAACCCUGAUCCAGCCAUGCCGCGUGUGUGAAGAAGGCCUUUUGGUUGUAAAGCACUUUAAGCGAGGAGGAGGCUACCGAGAUUAAUACUCUUGGAUAGUGGACGUUACUCGCAGAAUAAGCACCGGCUAACUCUGUGCCAGCAGCCGCGGUAAUACAGAGGGUGCAAGCGUUAAUCGGAUUUACUGGGCGUAAAGCGCGCGUAGGUGGCCAAUUAAGUCAAAUGUGAAAUCCCCGAGGUUAACUUGGGAAUUGCAUUCGAUACUGGUUAGCUAGAGUAUGGGAGAGGAUGGUAGAAUUCCAGGUGUAGCGGUGAAAUGCGUAGAGAUCUGGAGGAAUACCGAUGGCGAAGGCAGCCAUCUGGCCUAAUACUGACACUGAGGUGCGAAAGCAUGGGGAGCAAACAGGAUUAGAUACCCCGGUAGUCC
rnacentral:rRNA from 1 species